rnacentral:rRNA from 1 species
AUUGAACGCUGGCGGCAGGCCUAACACAUGCAAGUCGAGCGGAGCGGCGGACGGGUGAGUAAUUCCUAGGAAUCUGCCUGGUAGUGGGGGCUAACGUCCGGCAACGGGCGCUAAUACCGCAUACUAUCAGAUGAGCCUAGGUGGGCUUAGCUAGUUGGUGGGGUAACGGCCUACCAAGGCGACGAUCCGUAACUGGUCUGAGUGGUUGAUCAGUCACACGGGAACUGAGACACGGUCCAGACUCCGACGGGAGGAAGCAGUGGGGAAUAUUGGACAAGGGGCGAAAGCCUGAUGCAGCCAUGCCGCGUGUGUGAAGAAGGUCUUCGGAUUGUAAAGCACUUUAAGUUGGGAGGCGUUACCAACAGAAGAAGCACCGGCUAACUUCGUGCCAGCAGCCGCGGUAAUAC